CUAAUAGCCCACACACUUAGAGACGUGUGGCGCUUGUUAACCGAUUGCAACAAUGUUCGCGACGGCGCGAACACUGCUGAGCUUCCAGGCCGUUCGGGAGUUCCGGGCCGUUCGGUAUUGUAUUCCCUAUACUUCAAUCGGUCUUUUGAAUGUGUGUUUUAAUAAAUGUGUUUUUCGUGCGGCGUUCGGUUAUUUUAGCUGGGAUCUGAGCGGUAAUCUCACGAAGGCGCUCAGACCCCAGCUAUCUACCGAACGUCCAUUCGUGCAAAUAGACCAAAUAGUCGAAAAACUGUAUAUUUUAGAGUAAAUUGACGGUUCUGCUGCACGGAGGGAUAAUCCACUUAACGGCACAUUCCAGUGGGAGUAUCCCUCUCGUGCAGCAGUGCCUGAUGGGGGGAAAGGCUCUGUAAUGUAAGUUCCCCACGUAGUCCACUCUGGGUAUGCCCCUAGGAUAGGACUCAGGAAACCUCUUGCAUGGGGAAUUGUAUAAAUUGUGGAGCCUGUGAAUAAAGACCUCAGUUGACUCUCAGAACUGUGUUUCGUCCGGUUACUGGGAGAUUUGGGAUAUUGCCUGCUUUUCAGCGCUGACUGUGGAUUACUUUCUGAACCAGCGGAAUUCGUGGAUUUAAUACUGCCGAUCCGCUACAGUUACACAGUGAGGAUGACCUCCCCCCCCCCCUCUGAUGCCCCAACACCUCAUGCUGUGCUUUCUGCAGACAUAAAGUGACUCAUAUUGUCCCUUGCUAGUAAUGUCACCAUCCG